GACGAACGCUGGCGGCGUGCUUAACACAUGCAAGUCGAACGAAGAGCGAUGGAAGCUUGCUUCUAUCAAUCUUAGUGGCGAACGGGUGAGUAACGCGUAAUCAACCUGCCCUUCAGAGGGGGACAACAGUUGGAAACGACUGCUAAUACCGCAUACGAUCUAAUCUCGGCAUCGAGGAUAGAUGAAAGGUGGCCUCUACAUGUAAGCUAUCACUGAAGGAGGGGAUUGCGUCUGAUUAGCUAGUUGGAGGGGUAACGGCCCACCAAGGCGAUGAUCAGUAGCCGGUCUGAGAGGAUGAACGGCCACAUUGGGACUGAGACACGGCCCAGACUCCUACGGGAGGCAGCAGUGGGGAAUCUUCCGCAAUGGACGAAAGUCUGACGGAGCAACGCCGCGUGAGUGAUGACGGCCUUCGGGUUGUAAAGCUCUGUUAAUCGGGACGAAAGGCCUUCUUGCGAAUAGUGAGAAGGAUGACGGUACCGGAUAGAA
rnacentral:rRNA from 1 species